rnacentral:rRNA from 1 species
UGGCUCAGGACGAACGCUGGCGGCGUGCUUAACACAUGCAAGUCGAACGAUGAAAUUCUGACGGAGGCUUCGGCCAACUGAAGGAUGGAUUAGUGGCGGACGGGUGAGUAACGCGUGAGUAACCUGCCUUUCAGAGGGGAAUAACAUUUGGAAACGAAUGGUAAUACCGCAUAAUGUUAUCGGACCGCAUGAUCUGAUAACCAAAGGAGCAAUCCGCUGAAAGAUGGACUCGCGUCCGAUUAGCUAGUUGGAGAGGUAACGGCUCCCCAAGGCGACGAUCGGUAGCCGGACUGAGAGGUUGAACGGCCACAUUGGGACUGAGACACGGCCCAGACUCCUACGGGAGGCAGCAGUGGGGAAUAUUGCACAAUGGGGGAAACCCUGAUGCAGCAACGCCGCGUGAAGGAAGACGGUCUUCGGAUUGUAAACUUUUGUUCUUAGUGAAGAAACAUGACGGUAGCUAAGGAGAAAGCCACGGCUAACUACGUG